AUUGAACGCUGGCGGCAUGCCUUACACAUGCAAGUCGAACGGUAACAGGUUAAGCUGACGAGUGGCGAACGGGUGAGUAAUGUAUCGGAACGUGCCCAGUCGUGGGGGAUAACUGCUCGAAAGAGCAGCUAAUACCGCAUACGACCUGAGAGUGAAAGCGGGGGAUCGCAAGACCUCGCGCGAUUGGAGCGGCCGAUAUCAGAUUAGGUAGUUGGUGAGGUAAAGGCUUACCAAGCCGACGAUCUGUAGCUGGUCUGAGAGGACGACCAGCCACACUGGGACUGAGACACGGCCCAGACUCCUACGGGAGGCAGCAGUGGGGAAUUUUGGACAAUGGGCGCAAGCCUGAUCCAGCCAUGCCGCGUGCGGGAAGAAGGCCUUCGGGUUGUAAACCGCUUUUGUCAGGGAAGAAAAGGUUCUGGCUAAUACCUGGGACUCAUGACGGUACCUGAAGAAUAAGCACCGGCUAACUACGUG
rnacentral:rRNA from 1 species